GCGGAUGUGGUGUAUGGUGCACUCCUGCAUUUGAUAACGGUGAUCUAAAGUUGACAGCAGUGGGACGGGGUUCGACUCCCCGCGUCCGCA